rnacentral:RNase_P_RNA from 1 species
AAGAGUAAGCGUGCGGUUGCGAAAUUUAUCUCAAAAUUCGUUUUGAGUUCAAGUUUUGAGGAAAGUCCGGGCUUCCAUGAAGAUCAGACUGCUGGAUAAUGCCCAGUGCGAGUGAUCGUGAGGACAGUGCCACAGAAAGAUACCGCCUAUUAGAAAUUCGCUUCGCGAAUUUCUAAUAGGUAAGGGUGCAAAGGUGUGUUAAGAGCGCACCAGCAGAGUCGUGAGGCUCUGGCUCGGUAAACCCCAGUUGGAAGCAAGGCGAGAGGAUUUAGGAGUAUCGAUCUUCAAAUUGCUCUUAAUUCCGUUGCUUAAGGUGAUUGUCUGGUGAAAGCUGAGCGAUCGCAUUUUAAGUGUGUGCCGCAUGAGGUAUUUGGCAACAUGUAUCCCAGAUAGAUAACCGCUAAGGUAGUUGAAUAGACUCCUGAAACAGAACCCGGCUUAUGUCUUGCUCUUUCUU